GUGAAUCAUCGAAUCUUUGAACGCAAAUUGCACUCUCCUCUGAUCGUGUGCCUGUUUGAGGGUCAGCCUAUAAAAAUCGACAUCGUUGCUGUUUUGCGGUGGCGUUCGUCGGAAUUUUGGUCAUCUUAAGUCCUUGUGAUUUAAGCGACUUAAAAUUUUCUUUUAGUUGCAUGAACUUUUCUAAUAUUUAUUUCUUUACACGUUUAUGGUAUCGA
rnacentral:misc_RNA from 1 species